rnacentral:rRNA from 1 species
GACGAACGCUGGCGGCGUGCUUAACACAUGCAAGUCGAACGGAAAGGCCCUGCUUUUGUGGGGUGCUCGAGUGGCGAACGGGUGAGUAACACGUGAGUAACCUGCCCUUGACUUUGGGAUAACUUCAGGAAACUGGGGCUAAUACCGGAUAGGAGCUCCUGCUGCAUGGUGGGGGUUGGAAAGUUUCGGCGGUUGGGGAUGGACUCGCGGCUUAUCAGCUUGUUGGUGGGGUAGUGGCUUACCAAGGCUUUGACGGGUAGCCGGCCUGAGAGGGUGACCGGCCACAUUGGGACUGAGAUACGGCCCAGACUCCUACGGGAGGCAGCAGUGGGGAAUAUUGCACAAUGGGGGGAAGCCUGAUGCAGAAACGCCGCGAGCGGGAUAACGGCCUUCGGGUUGUAAACAGCUUUCGCCUGUGAUGAAGAGUGAGUGACGGUAAUGGGUAAAGAAGCACCGGCUAACUACGUG